GCACCUUCGGGUGUGAAUUAGCGGCGAACGGGUGAGGAACACGUGAGAAAUCUGCCUUCAACACUGGGAUAACUCCGGGAAACCGGGGCUAAUACCGGAUAUGAAACCUGCGGGCAUCCGCGGGUUUGGAAAGUUUUUCGGUUGAAGAUGAUCUCGCGGCCUAUCAGCUUGUUGGUGAGGUAAUGGCUCACCAAGGCGACGACGGGUAGCCGGCCUGAGAGGGCGACCGGCCACACUGGGACUGAGACACGGCCCAGACUCCUACGGGAGGCAGCAGUGGGGAAUAUUGGGCAAUGGAGGAAACUCUGACCCAGCGACGCCGCGUGCGGGAUGAAGGCCUUCGGGUUGUAAACCGCUUUCAGCAGGGAAGAAGCGAAAGUGACGGUACCUGCAGAAGAAGCACCGGCUAACUAUGUGCCAGCAGCCGCGGUAAUACAUAGGGUGCAAGCGUUGUCCGGAAUUAUUGGGCGUAAAGAGCUCGUAGGUGGUUCGUCACGUCGGAUGUGAAACUCUG
rnacentral:rRNA from 1 species